rnacentral:ncRNA from 1 species
AGAACUAAUAAUUCGACAGGUGGAAUGAGAGGGUAACGCCUUGAAACGCCUGCACUGAUACUCCGACGUGCGUUAGUUGGUGUAAUACAACUAAGGUACGAAGCUCGGUGAAGUAUGGCUGAGAGUACCCCCUAACAGAUAAUGCUGAGGAAAUGCGAACCAGAGGUGGUCGAGGGUAUGAUAGGUCGGGUGUCG